CCCACCACCACACCUGACCAGUUCUCUGUUGACUGGUGCAAUACAAUGGUGAGCUCAUAGUAAACCAUAUCUUGUAGAAAGACAGGGUUAUUCUAAAUGUGAAUAAUUCUUUGCCAAAAGUAUGAGAACAGCU
rnacentral:snoRNA from 1 species